UUCAUAUUUUGAGCAGCCAAUGCCACGACUGUCAUGGUCUAAAAAUCCGAUAGCUGGAUAAUCCGAUAGUUCAUGACAGUGGUACAUUGUCUACUCGAAAUUUUUGAA
rnacentral:pre_miRNA from 1 species